rnacentral:rRNA from 1 species
GCCGUAGGGAGCGAGCGUUGUCCGGAUUCAUUGGGCGUAAAGAGCGCGCAGGCGGUUUGGUAAGUCGGAUGUGAAAACCCGGGGCUCAACCCCGGGCGUGCAUCUCGAUACUGCCCGACUAGAGGUAGGUAGGGGAGAUCGGAAUUCCUGGUGUAGCGGUGAAAUGCGCAGAUAUCAGGAGGAACACCGGUGGCGAAGGCGGAUCUCUGGGCCUUACCUGACGCUCAGGCGCGAAAGCUAGGGGAGCGAACAGG